rnacentral:rRNA from 1 species
AACGCGAAGAACCUUACCCAGACUUGACAUGCACUGGACAGCAUCAGAAAUGAUGCCUCCCUUCGGGGCCGGUGCACAGGUGCUGCAUGGCUGUCGUCAGCUCGUGCCGUGAGGUGUUGGGUUAAGUCCCGCAACGAGCGCAACCCUUAUCAUUAGUUGCCAACACGUAAUGGUGGGAACUCUAAUGAGACUGCCUGGGUUAACCAGGAGGAAGGUGAGGAUGACGUCAAGUCCGCAUGGCCCUUAUGUCUGGGGCUACACACGUGCUACAAUGGUCGGUACAAAAGGCAGCGAAACUGUGAAGUGAAGCAAAUCCCAAAAGCCGACCCCAGUUCAGAUUGUAGUCUGCAACUCGACUACAUGAAGAUGGAAUUGCUAGUAAUGGCGAGUCAGCAACAUCGCCGUGAAUACGUUCCCGGGCCUUGUACACACCGAUACUC